rnacentral:rRNA from 1 species
UACAGAGGUCUCAAGCGUUGUUCGGAUUCAUUGGGCGUAAAGGGUGCGUAGGUGGCGGGGCAAGUUUGGUGUGAAAUCCCGGGGCUCAACCCCGGAACUGCACUGAAUACUGCCUUGCUAGAGCACUGGAGAGGGAACUGGAAUUUACGGUGUAGCAGUGAAAUGCGUAGAUAUCGGGAGGAACACCAGUGGCGAAGGCGACUUCCUGGCCUGUUCUUGACGCUGAGGCGCGAAAGCUAGGGGAGCAAACGGG